AGGCAGGAAAGGAUUUGUUGGAUUGAAAGGCGGGAUGGGAGACAGAGGAAAUACUGGACCAAUUGGAUCAACAGGACAGAUGGGCAUGAAAGGAUCGAAAGGAAACAAAGGAAACCAAGGAAAUGCCGGACAGCAAGGAAACAGGGGAGACAGAGGACUUCAAGGACCACAUGGAAAAGACGGUGCAGAUGGAAAGGAUGGAUCGACAGGAGAUAAAGGCGACAGAGGAAAUACAGGUAAAGCGAA